CACAUGGAGCGCGAAGAAGUCUCAUGAAAGUAGCAGCGGCUCACCUCCCCUGGCUAUAUUCAAAACGAGGAUUCAGCUCUACAAGCUCUCCCCACCCUGCCAGGAGCUAAGCAGACCAGCGCCUCCACCCAGGGCAACAAUACCAAGUGACUACCCCACCAAACUUUCAGAGGCCCCAAGAUGGCUCCCUGACCAGAGAAACAUACCCCUUUUGAUAAAGGAGCUGAUUCAAUUCAGGCAGAGCUGCAUAGAUGACAUCAGAAAAUGACUGAUAGUCUUGAUGCGGAAAUUGCACUUAUCAUACAGACAAAGUGUGAAGACAUACACUCAGGAUCAAGGUUCUGUCUGUACCAGAGUAUACAACUGACCUAGACCUCCCCACCCCCAAAAAUGAGGCAUCAGCGCAGGUUCGAGACAAGACUGGAACAGGAGAGUCAGCAGAGUCGGGGGCCAGGAAGACCGAUGGUUUGGGAUAAACAGUUCAGUGAACAUUGGGAGGAGAUGCUCUCCAGACACCAGGCCACAGCCUCCAUCUCCACUGGCAGGAGGGAGAGAGGGCUGCACCCUGAGAGGACCUAAGAAUGGCUCCACAUUGGAAAUUCAUGGCAAAUUGCUCCUAUAAUUUACUGGUCCGGCUGGAGAAAUGCAUCUUUGAAUUUCAGCGAGAGACUUUGAAAAUCUUUCUCAACCGAGGCUCUCCAACCCAACUGAGAUGAAUUAAAGGGAAUUAUGCACAUAAACCCCACAGAUCAAGGGGACACCCACUCUCCUUCAACUGCCUGCAAGGUGAUUAGACAGAGUUCAUAGCAGAACAGGCGCUCAGGCUGGAAAAAUAAAAGAAGAUAAAUUUGAAAUGCAGAGA